UCCGGCCAUAUCACAUUCAAACACUGUUUCCCGUACGGUCAGCAAAGUUAAGCAAUGUCGGGCCUGGUCAGCACCUAGACGGGUGAGCGUCUGGGAAUACCAGGUGCUGUAA